UAUUGCAAGUCGAACGGACGCUUCGGGAUCUGGGGCGGGACGGGUGUAUAACACGUGGGAACAUGCCUUUUGGUUCGGAAUACCCCCAGGACACGGAUGGUACUGGCAAAGGUGCCCUUCGGGGGAAAAAUUUUUCGCCUUUAGAGCGGCCCGCGUCUGAUUAGCUAGUUGGUGAGGUAACGGCUCACCACGGCGACAAUCAUUAUCUGGUCUGAGAGGAUGACCCGCCACACUGGGACUGAGACACGGACCAGACUCCUACGGGAGGCACCAGUGGGGAAUCUUGCGCAAUGGGCGAAAGCCUGACGCAGCCAUGCGGCGUGUUUGAUGAAGGUCUUAGGAUUGUAAAAUUCUUUCCCCGGGAAUGAUGAUGGCUGUCCCCUGAUAAAAAUCCCCGGCUAACUUCGAGCCAGCGCCCGCUGUAUUACGAAGCGGGCUAGCGUUGCUCGGAAUUACUGGGCGUAAAAGGGCGCGUAAGGCGGGAUCGUUAAUUCAGAGGUGAAAUCCCGGGGCUCAACCAUGUAAAUUGCCUUUGAUACUGGCGAUCUGGAUUAUAAAAGAAGGUAUUGUGGAACCUCCGAGUGUACAGGUGAAAUUCUUAUAUAUUCGG
rnacentral:rRNA from 1 species